rnacentral:rRNA from 1 species
GAUGAACGCUAGCGGCAGGCCUAAUACAUGCAAGUCGAACGAGAUUAAGAGGCUUGCUUCUUAUGAAAGUGGCGCACGGGUGCGUAACGCGUAUGCAACCUACCUUAAUCAGGGGGAUAGCCCGAAGAAAUUCGGAUUAAGACCGCAUAAAAACACAGGAUAGCAUUAUCCAAUGUUCAAAUAUUUAUAGGAUUAAGAUGGGCAUGCGUGUCAUUAGCUAGUUGGCGGGGUAACGGCCCACCAAGGCGACGAUGACUAGGGGAUCUGAGAGGAUGACCCCCCACACUGGUACUGGGGCACGGACCAGACUCCUACGGGAGGCAGCAGUAAGGAAUAUUAGUCAAUGGAGGGAACUCUGAACCAGCCAUGCCGCGUGCAGGAAGACAGCCCUCUGGGUCGUAAACUGCUUUUAUUCGGGAAUAAACCUUUCUACGUGUAGGAAGCUGAAUGUACCGAAGGAAUAAGGAUCGGCUAACUCCGUG